GAUGAAGAACGCAGCAAAAUGCGAUACGCAAUGCGAAUUGCAGAAUUCCGCGAGUCAUCAGAUCUUUGAACGCAAGUGGCGCUGGAGUAAAAUCCAGCAUGUUUGUUUCAGUGUGUUAGAGAUUCAAAUCUCAUCAUAAAUCAAAAUGCGACUGAGUUUCUCUUUCGUUAAACGUGAAGUCAGUUUGCACUGGCAAUUCCCUUCGGAGUAGUCACAUCACAGUGUGUGAUCUCGUUGGGUUUGGCUUGCAUUAGACAAAUUAUUUCUCACUUGGCACCUGAAAUCAAGCAAGGUCACCCGCUGAACUUAAGCAUAUCAAUAAGCGGAGGA
rnacentral:misc_RNA from 1 species